AUGGGGAAGGAUUUUCCUCGAGAAAUACACCUCAUCCAAGCAAUAAUGAUGAAGGUUCUACCAUGCGUGACGAUAUUGAUGGACUACUUCAUGAUACAUUUAGAAACAUAGAGGGCCAGGAAGAGGAUGAAGAAGAAGUUGGGGAAAGACUAUCUGAAGAUGCAAAGAAGUUUUUUAAAUUGCUGGAGGAAGGAAAAUAAGAGUUAUAUCCGGGGUGUGAAAAUUUUAGUAAACUGAGUUUCAUUAUUCGAUUGUACUUGCUUAAAUCAUUGCAUGGGUUGAGUAAUGUGGCUUUCUCUGAUUUAUUAGAGUUGAUAAAAGAGGCAUUUCCAUUUGCUCAGGUACCGGAAUCUUUCAACAAGGCUAGAAACAUGAUAAAAGAUUUGGGUCUUCAUUAUGAAAAAAUACAUGCAUGCUCUAAUGAUUGCAUGUUAUUUUGGAAAAAAAAAUGCGAAUACGGAUAAUUGCUCUAUUUGUGGGUCUUCAAGAUGGAAGAGUGUCAGUCCUUUGACUAAAGCAAACUCUAAAAUCCCUAUAAAGGUUUUAAGGUACUUUCCUUUAAAGUCUAGGCUUCAGAGGAUAUUCAUGUGUCCUGAAACGGCUGCUGCAAUGAGAUGGCAUGCUAAUGAGCGACCCAAUGAUGGGAAUAUAAGACAUCCCGCUGAUGGGGAAGCUUGGAAGGCUUUUGAUUCUUUGUAUCCAGACUUCUCUAGAGAUCCUCGGAAUGUUAGAUUGGUUCUUUCAAGUGAUGGUUUCAACCCGUUUCGGACCAUGAGCAUUUCUCAUAGCACGUGGCCUGUUAUAUUAAUGAACUAUAAUUUAUCACCGUGGAUUUGCAUGAAGCCGGAGUAUAUAAUGUUGUCUAUGAUCAUUCCUGGUUCAUCAUCUCCCGGAAAUGAUAGAGAUGUGUACCUACGUCCAUUAAUUGAAGAAUUGAAGGAGCUAUGGGAAACUGGGAUAGACACAUUUGAUGCUGAAACCAACCAAUCUUUCCGAAUGUGUGCUGCCUUAUUGUGGACAGUUAGUGACUUUCCAGCAUUAACAAUGCUUUCAAGAUGGAGUACUAAGGGGAGAUUAGCAUGCCCCACUUGCAAUUAUGACACAUGUUCUCAAUAUCUCAAACAUAGUCACAAGAUGUAUUACUUGGGCCAUCGAAGACUUUUGCCUCGUGAUCAUCCAUUCCGAAGAGAUAAGAAGUCUUUUGAUGGUAAGGAGGAACAUAGACCUGCACCUGCUCCCUUGUCGGUUGAAGAAGUCUUUGAAGAGCUGCUUGAAUUCAACAAUAUCUUUGGAAAGAGCACUAAAAAAAGGCCUCGGAGUGAUAAGGGUCCGUGGAAAAAGAGAUCCAUUUUUUUUGAAUUGCCAUAUUGGGUGCAUAACAAAUUGAGGCACAAUCUUGAUGUGAUGCACAUCGAGAAAAACAUAUGUGAUAGUUUGCUUGGGACUUUAUUAGAAAUAGAUGGAAAAUCAAAUGAUCAUGAAAAAUCUCGCUAUGACUUACAAGAAUGGGGAUACGAAAGGAGUUACAACCAAGAAUAAAUAGUGAUGGAACUAUAAGUGUGGCUAAAUCUUGUUUCUACAUGGAACCAAAACUGAAAAGUUUAUUUUGUACUGUCAUAAAAAAUGCUAAAUUACCAAAAGGGUGUGCUUCGAAUAUUUCAGAACGCAUGCAAGUGAAAGAGAUGAAAAUAUUAGGGUACAAGAGUCAUGACGCUCAUUUUAUAAUGCAUUACUUGCUCCAAGUUGCUGUUAGAAAAGUGUUGCCCAAACAUGUUUUAUUGGCCUUGAUUAGGUUGGAAAAUUUUUUUAGAGCUAUAUGUAGUAAGGUCAUAAGGCAAAGAGAUCUUGAAACAAUACAGUCGGAAAUUGUUGAAAUAACAUGCGAGCUUGAAAAGAUUUUCCAUCCAACAUUUUUUGACAUAAUGCCACAUUUGCCUAUUCAUUUGGUGAAUGAAAUUAAGCUUGGGGGUCCGGCUCAUCUCCGUUGGAUGUAUCCCAUUUAGAGGAACCUAUGUAAGUACAAGGCAUUUGUACGUAAUCGGUCUUGUCCAGAAGCAUCAAUAGCAGAGGGGUUUGUGGCCGAUGAGUGCUUGACUUUUUGUUCGAGAUAUCUACAUGAUGGCGUUAAGACAAAAUUUAGUAGGUACCAAACUGUGGAUGAUGAGUGCUCUCAAAAUUUGUCACCUAUAUUCCCUAAUAUAGGCCAUCCAAUUGGAAGUAAGAAAAAAGAUACUUUUCUCAUGGAUUCGCAGUUAUGCUUUGAAACACAUCAAUAUGCUCUGUUCAAUACUGGAGAUGAACAAAUGGAAAAGUUUAUCGAGGAACAUAAAAAUUUAAUUGUUAUUCAUAGUAGAUCAAAUGCAUGGGUAAGAGCGAGGGAUCACAGUCGAGAAUUCAGCAAUUGGUUUAAACAGAAAGUUAAAAAUAUUGUUGUGCCAGAUUAUUUAAGAUUGCUAGCUAAAGUACCUACUAUGGUAGCCAAAAGAUAUACUACAUAUUUUAUUAAUGGAUACCGAUUUCAUACCAAAGAACGGGAUUCCCGAUGCAAGACUCAAAAUAGUGGAGUGACUUUAUCGGCAAUAACAGAUAGUUUUGCUAGUUCUAGGGACCAAAAUCCCAUCAAUGGUGAGGUUAUCUAUUAUGGAGCGAUUCAGGAUAUCAUUGAGAUUGAUUAUUGGGGUUGUUUUAGGGUUGUACUGUUUAGAUGUGAUUGGUUUCGUAAUGAAAUAGAUGAUUAUGGGUUAACUCGGGUGUACUUCAAUAGAUUAUGCAGUAGAGAUGACCCUUUUGUGUUGGCAUCACAAGUUUAUCAAAUUUUUUAUGUGGAGGAUCCAACUGAGAAAGAUGUUUAUUAUGCGAGGAGCAAAGUACCUGUUGAUUUGUAUGAUCUAGAGGAAGAGAACUGUCCUAAUAUUGGAGACACAUUUUGGAGGGAACCUAAUAAUGACAUUAGUUCCUCAUCUAGAUUACUUGAUGUUGACAUUAGAUGGUCAAGAGAAGACGUACCCGUUGAUAUCAUUGAUACUCCAUCUAAUGCACAAAAUUCACACGAUACAAUAGUGGAAACAUCGGAAGAGGAGGAUGGGUUUGAUGAUACUGAUUGGGACUGGAUGGAAGCAGAUGAUUAAAUAAGAAAAUUCUGAAAUCUUUUAAGUAUAUUCUUUUUAGAGAUUUGAGAUCUGGUAACAUUAUUGUCGAUAUUGAAUUAAAUGAUAGAGAUUUCGGAUACUUUUGUUCGGUUGUUGAGGCCGUCCCUUCUCUCACGUCCUCUUCUGGUUCAGCUGUCCAAGUCUUCAAGUGUGAAGCACAGUUGGAGCUGGAGCUAGUGCUGAAAUGAGUGAUAUUUUGCUGGUUGUAUUUUGAGCGGAGCAUUUUAAAAGACUUGGUCUUAGAAUCUGAAAAAUAUUUGAAUAGUCAUGAAUCAAGAAGGGUGCUCAAGCAAAAAUAAGAAAAUAUUCAACCGCAUUCCAGCUGGAUCACUUGCAUCUUUUCGAAAUCAAAGGGUUUCGUCGUUGACAACAAAAAGAACCUUCCAAGCUACACGUUCUAAUACAAAUGAAGAACGACAAUCAGAAGGUGGAUUACCCUCAUCUUUGCGAAACCAAAAGGUUUCGUCGUUGACAACAAAAACAUUCUUGAAAUCUAUAAGGUCAAAUGCAAAUGAAGAACGACAAUCCGAAGGUGGAUCUCAAUUGCAAGAACAAGUGCAGCAAGUGCCACAGAAUUGCACCUCUUCAGCAACACAAGGAGUACAUGAACAAGUGCAACAAGCGAAUAUGGAUUGCAUCACUCCUGCAUCACAGGGAGUACAUGAACGAUCUGAUGAUUCUACCAAUCAUGAAGCAAUUGAACAAUUUGAGGAACAAGGCAAAUAUAUAUAAAUUUUAAUCAUAAACUUAACUAAAUAUAGUGAUUAAUGAUUAUCUUUGUUUUGUACUAUUGCAGGCCCCUCCUCGCCAAAAAGAAAAAGAGGUCGUACUCAAAUGCCAAGUGUUCAUGUUAGAAAAGAGCGUAAAAUAAUCACUCUAAAUGAGUUUAAUCAACCCAUUGGUCCUACUAAAGAGGUUGUAAAAGAGUUGGGUAGCUUCCUUGGCACAUUGGCAAGGAGUGGGAAUUUUUCUCCUCUUAAUGUAGUUAAUUGGAGGAAACUAGAUACAAAAGAUGAUAUGUAGAAAUAUAUCAAGGAAAAAUAUGACAUUCCUGACGAGGCGAAAAAAUGGAUUUUUGAAUCAGUUUGUAGUGCUUAGAGAAAGUAUAAUAGUCAAUUGAAGAAAACCACUUCACAGCCUAUGAGAAUGAUGAGCUUCGUAUGAAGAAUAGGCCAGUAGAUGUUCCAGAAUCUCACUUUAAGGAUCUUCUUAACUAUUGGAACUCUGAUCCUCACAAGAAAAUGUCCGAAACCAAUACAGAGAAUCGAAAUAAAUUGAAGUGUCCACACACAGAUGGCAAAACACCUUUUGCUCUAAUUCACGAGGAAAAAAGAAGAAAAUCUCUGAUACUUCAGAUACUGUAUCAAGUAAGGACAUAUUUGUGGCUAUAAGAAAAAGAAAACUUGGUCGAGUAUACAAAAGCUCAUAUGACAAUACAAUUAGUAAAAUUGUUGAAAUGGAAAGAAUACAAUCUACUCAGGAAAGUGAAUAUGUCAAUCAUUCAACUGACGAUUUUACAUCAGUCAUGGGACCUGAACAUCCAGGUCGUGUGAGAUUGUAUGGACGAGGGGUUACCAAGACUGUGUUAAAAGGGCAAAAAGGGAAUCUUGGAUCUUCUGAUGAGAGGAUGCAGCAAAAAAUAGAGGAAAUGGAAGAGAGGAUACAACAAAGAAUGUAUGAAAAGUUGAACGGACAAAAGGAUGCUAUGGAACAAAAUAUUACAAUGAACGUCAUCGCACGACUUCAGCAUCUGAACCUAGAUUUGCGACUUGAUCCUGACAUGUUAAGGUUUAGUGCACGUUCACAUGUAGAUACUUCCUCUGCACAACAAGCUAUUGUUCAACUAAACAGUUGACCAUCUACUGGUAGUAACAAUCAAGGUGGAGUAGAUCAAGAAAUGAAUGAUGAAGAACUAGACCUUACUUGAAAUGAAUUUUGUAUUGUUAUAGAUGAAUAUUCUAGUAAUCUUUUGUUACCAACAUUUUUGAAACUUAUUUACUCUUUUGAAAUGUACUAAACUUAUGCACUCAUGGGGUAGAACAUUUGCUUUAUGGAUAAUUUUAUAUUAUUAAUA